GCGACACUAGCUCAGUUGGUAGAGCCCAACCUUGCCAAGGUUGAGGUCACGAGUUCUAUCCUCGUGUGUCGCUCCA
rnacentral:tRNA from 1 species